AUGGCGUUGCCUUGUGUUGGGCUACAUGCGGUGUUGUACUGCUCCAGUUGGACAGUUGUAUCAAUGGCUACGUUCUGUGUCCUUUCUAGCUACAUGGUCAGGACCGUCAGGUCUAUGUGCAUGAUGGUGUGUCCCAUGCUGAUACAGCCAAUCAACACGCUCAGUUGGAACGUCCGUGGCUUAAACUGCUCAGCUAGGCGGGCAACAGUCAGUGCAACGAUCGCCGCCUCCUCGUGUCAACUCGUCUGCUUACAAGAGACGAAGCUUGCCAGUAUUGACAAGUUUGUUGCUGCCUUCCUUGGUGGUAACAGACUCAAAAAUUUCGCGCAACGCCCGGCCACUGGGACUAGGGGAGGGAUCCUUUUAUUGUGGGACGACAAUGUUCUUGACGUCUCUGAUAUCUCAGCUUCGACCUAUUGCAUCUCUGGCAUGGUCCGCAUCCGUGCGACCGACAUGUGUUACAAACUCACUUCCGUCUAUGGUCCCACAGACUAUGCUUGCAAGGACGACUUCUUCGCCGAACUUACCGCCCACAAGCCUUUGGCUGGUGUUGGUUGGCUUGCUCUAGGAGACUUCAAUCAGAUCUAUCGUGCACGUGACAAAAACAAGAGAAAUGUUAAUCGAAGUAGGAUUAACCGGUUCUGCGCUACUUUGCAAUCCUGCGAGCUCAAGGAAAUCCAUCUUCAGAAUAGACGCUUCACGUGGAGUAAUGAGCGGGACAACCCAACGCUUUGCAAGCUUGACUCCUUCUUCUGCAAUGCGGAAUGGGAUACGACAUUCAACACCCAUGUCUUGCAUGCUUUGUCGUCCUCCCUUUCCGAUCAUUGUCCGCUCCUUCUCGCGGAUGACAGGGGCCCCAGAAGGCCACGGUCCUUCAAAUUCGAGAAUUUCUGGGUAUCUUUGCCUGGAUUCAACGAGGUGGUUCAGAAGGCGUGGGACGAGCACGUGGGUCACACGGAGCCUUAUCAAGAAAACUGCGAUUCGGCUCUCCGAGUGGAACAAGAAGCUCUUUUCCAAGGCUAA
rnacentral:rRNA from 1 species